ACGCUGCAAACGCCUGCACCAAGUCACGGCGCCGACGGCGGAGUAGGCGACGGUGCACAGAGGCGACUGACUCGCGUUUGCCUGAGCGUCCGUCUAAAUGUAACUUCCGACACCAUAGUGGCUCUUAGGCAUUCUCCUCUGCAAGGUGGGACUCCGCACUUACCUUGCAGUGAAAAGUCAACGGGGUCACAAUCACAGCCAAGAGAAUCUCUGAAGGACAAACAACGGCAAAACUCCAUGCAAAGAGGACGUCACGCACAGCUGUGAUGCCAGAUGAAUACUGAAAGUGACGUUUGGACCACUUUACACAUGCCGCUUCUAGAUCACCUGGUGAUAUGGCUGUCCAUCGGGAAGCCCAGGAAAAGCAGCAGCAAGGAGGGAGGAUUGAUUCUUCCAGGCUUGGGAGUACUAAGCUGGGAAUGUGGGCAGGCGAUAUGGUAGAACGUUCUGGAGCACUAGCAAGAACAAGCCGGGGCAGCAGAGAGCAAGUGAACAGAGACCUAGAGAAAAGGAGAGGUGGAGAGCGUCCACAGUGCGAGAAGACAGGGUCCAGCAGCAAAGGCGGUGACUCUAACAUGUUUGGAGGUAAGAGCAGCACCUGAAUCUUACGUAAAAUGAGGGGCCACUGAAGCAUGUCAGGCAGUCCUAAAGGGAUGCAGUUAACAAGCAACAGACCUGCAGGAAAUUCUAUAGGACUAUCUAAACCACACCAAGAAGACCCCACUUCUUCAACAAGUACAUUUUAAGGGUGAACAAAGGGAAGGGGUAACCAGUGGGUCAGAAAAGAUUUAAGAGAUGUUAUCAGCUCCCUGUAGAUAUGGACCCUAUGGGUCAUGCAAACUGUUAAAAAAAUAUGGACACAACGGUAGGGAUUUGAACAUUUCUAAAUAUUUGACGAUGUUAAGAUGUUGUUUUGAGGUGUGAUCAUCGUAUUGUGCUGUCUCUAGAAAGAGUCUGUAUGUUUUGGAAAUUCACCGAAAAAAAUGUAAUGAUAUGAAAUAAUUUUGCAUCAAGAGAGUCCACAGAAGAGGUACACAGGGGUAGGGGACAGACAAAUUAGGACUACCUACUGAAGUGGUAACUGUUGAACCUGGUUAUGGAAAUAUGAGGAUCAUUCUAGCCUCGAUGCUUGUGUGUACCUCAAGUAUUCUAUAAUAAAACGUUUAAGAAAUUCUCUAAAAGCAGCACCACACAUAACUUACAUGGUAAAAACCAUAUGUGAUGUGUUACAAACUGCAUGAGUGCUUAAUAAAAACCGGUG